rnacentral:tRNA from 1 species
AAAAAGAUAAGCUAAUUUAAGCUAAUGGGCUCAUAACUCAUUCAUGAAAGAAAAUUCUCUUUUUA